UGGGGAAUAUUGGACAAUGGGGGGAACCCUGAUCCAGCCAUGCCGCGUGUGUGAAGAAGGUCUUCGGAUUGUAAAGCACUUUAAGUUGGGAGGAAGGGCAGUUACCUAAUACGUGAUUGUUUUGACGUUACCGACAGAAUAAGCACCGGCUAACUCUGUGCCAGCAGCCGCGGUAAUACAGAGGGUGCAAGCGUUAAUCGGAAUUACUGGGCGUAAAGCGCGCGUAGGUGGUUUAUUAAGUUAGAUGUGAAAUACCUGGGCUUAACCUGGGUUGGUCAUCUAAUACUGGUAAGCUAGAGUACAGGAGAGGGAAGUGGAAUUUCCGGUGUAGCGGUGAAAUGCGUAGAUAUCGGAAAGAACAUCAGUGGCGAAGGCGGCUUCCUGGCCUGAUACUGACGCUGAGGCGCGAAAGCGUGGGGAGCAAACAGGAUUAGAUACCCAAGUAGUCCCUGAGCGGGCUGGCAAGGCGCAU
rnacentral:rRNA from 1 species